GACCAGACUCCUACGGGAGGCAGCAGUGAGGGAUAUUGGUCAAUGGGGGAAACCCUGAACCAGCAACGCCGCGUGAGGGAAGACGGUUUUCGGAUUGUAAACCUCUGUCCUCUGUGAAGAUAAUGACGGUAGCAGAGGAGGAAGCUCCGGCUAACUACGUGCCAGCAGCCGCGGUAAUACGGAGGGUGCGAGCGUUAAUCGGAAUUACUGGGCGUAAAGCGCACGUAGGCUGUAUGACAAGUCAAGGGUGAAAUGCCACGGCUCAACCGUGGAACUGCCUUUGAAACUGUCAAACUGGAGUAUGUGAGAGGGCGGCGGAAUUCCUGGUGUAGGAGUGAAAUCCGUAGAUAUCAGGGGGAACAUCAGUGGCGAAGGCGGCCGCCUGGCACAAAACUGACGCUGAGGUGCGACAGCGUGGGUAGCAAACAGGAUUAGAUACCCCGGUA
rnacentral:rRNA from 1 species